UUUAAAUAUUUUAUUUAAUUAUUCCUAUCAGCCUAUGAGUAUAUUUCUAUAUUUUUAUACAAUUUUUAUUCCUGUUUUACAAACAGAGAAACUGAGAUGGAGAGGUCAUCAGCCCAAAGUCAUAGUGUGAAUGGUGGAGCCAGGAUUUAUGCUCAGGCAGUGUAACUUCAUAGCCUUUGGUCUUAGCCACAAUGCUACUCUGCUUCCCAAUAAAUAUUUAGUCAAAGUUUAUUCAUCAGUAUAGAAUGAUGACAUUAUUUAUUAUUUAUUGACUGCAUAAACCCAAAUUAUCAAACACUUUUUCAACAUUCUCUCAAAGAAGUAAAUUCAAUAUAUCUAACUUGAAAUUUAGGAGCAUUAAAAAAUUAGGAAAACUAUUUUAUAGAACCAGAGUUUUUCAUGGGGACAGGUGCUAGGGUUCUCUGCUCCAGAAUUCUGAUGCUUAAAAUGUUGCAUAUUUGUUUUAGAUGGAAAAAGAGGGUGCUGGCAGAAGGAUCCCUGGUUGGGCAGCGACAUGCCAGUGUGUCCAGAGGAGUUCCCUGCCUGCCAGGAAUCUCAGCAGACACAGUGAUGUGAAGGAGCAAGACAAAAUGCCAGAUGGGGUAACACAUAGAAAAGGCACGGAGAAGUUAAGUGAUUUGCCUGUGGUCACAAAGCCUGUUAGCAGCAAACCCAGAACAAGAACCUAAGAUUUAUGACCGCCAGUUCCAGCUGUUUUUCUUCGUCAUGUAUCCUCAGCAAUCAACAUAAUCAAAAUCUGUUUGGAGACUACUGAUUUGUAUAAAGGAAGAUAACACCGAACAACCAAACAGGAAGUAAUCCAGCGAAUCUGGAACAGCGGUGGAAUUUAGAAGCAAGGCCAGAUGAGGACCCUAAGACCUAGAGAAACUAAGUCAUUUGCUCAAGAAGACAAAGGCAUCGUCUGGUCCAGUUCAGCACAGAGCUAGCUGCAAGUGACAACCUAAGAGAAAAGUCAGCGAGAACAAAGAUCCAUCUCUUCGUUGACUGCCUUAAUCCCUAGAGCUGUGUUCUUCAAUUUGUUACUAUUUGCUACAAUUUUUCUGCCUAACAAGCAAGUUCUAUCCUGCCUAGGAGAGAAACUUUUAGUAAAUUCAUCUUCAUUCACUACUAUUCAGCUCAUGCUGUAAAAACUUAGAUAAUGCUGUCUGAAAUACUUAACUCCUGGUCAAAUGCAGCUGCUAUUUCAUUCAGUAUAAUCAAAGAAUAGCCAAGGACUUUAGUUAAUAUUUCUUCAGAUGAUAGAGAAUAAACAAAUUGUUUUGGAUAUAUCUACCAUGCCCUCCAAACAUGAUUGUUGAUAUCUUUUCUAUAUAAAUUACUUUCCUACAUAAAUGGUACUUAGCUUUUCCUUGAAAGAUAUGCUCUUCUCUCCAGCUCAAAGAUAACCCUCUUUCCCUCAAAUUAUAAGUAAUUUAUAUUUAAUAAUCUUUCAUACGAAUUUUUAAAAUUACAAAUGGUAAGGUACCACUAUUUUUUAUUUUGUAACAGCACAAACCAUCAAAUCAGAAAAAAAGAAAGGUUGAGUAUGAUCUCUGAAAAAUGAAUUCUAGUAGCAUGUAUAGCAAAAAUCAUCUUAGAAUGAAUAGAAGCCCUGAAUAACUCAAUGACCACCAGGCUUGUCUGCAUCCACGUUCUACUUGGUUAACUGUUAAAUAAUAUCUAACUUGUUGCAUUGUAAAAACAACAUGUGUCUGUAAACUGAAAAAUAGAUGUUAUUAUCCACCUGGUUUAGUCAUAAUGGAGAAAUGUCCUUCAGUUGCAUGAUGCUCUUCCUAUGAAUGAGGAAACCAGAUCAACAUUUCCAUUCAAGUUCUAGCUUGCCUAUAACAUUUCUUAGCUCCUUUUGCAAACCAAAAGUGGCAGCAGUUGUAACUGAAUUAGUCUAACUGCUCAGACACAUGCAUUUCUGUUUGGUUGCUCUGGUCUCUUCUUGAAGGCCAAGUGCUGUGAUCAUUUAUCAUCAUCAGAAUUGGCUGCCAUAACUCAGUGUUCCCGGGACCUGCAGUGGGCAGAGCACCAGCACAACCCGUAGAAAGCAGCUCCAAGAUCAGCACCCUCUCAUAAACCUACCGAGCCAGGAGCAUCUUCCAGGCCCUCCACUCUCAGGAGUUUCAAGGAGAAAACAAAAUGCUGAGGACUGGGAAUGAGAAGCUUCAACCUUGCACAAUCUCUACAUUUUGCUUUACUCCCAAGAGGGACGAAUGAAGAAUGUUGUUAUUGAUGCUAUGACCACUUCUCUCCCAUAUUGUGCCCAGUAAACAUGGUCUUACUCAUUAUUGAAA
rnacentral:lncRNA from 1 species